UACGUAGGGUCCGAGCGUUGUCCGGAAUUAUUGGGCGUAAAGAGCUCGUAGGCGGCUUGUCACGUCGAUUGUGAAAGCCCGAGGCUUAACCUCGGGUCUGCAGUCGAUACGGGCUAGCUAGAGUGUGGUAGGGGAGAUCGGAAUUCCUGGUGUAGCGGUGAAAUGCGCAGAUAUCAGGAGGAACACCGGUGGCGAAGGCGGAUUUCUGGGCCAUUACUGACGCUGAGGAGCGAAAGCGUGGGGAGCGAACAGG
rnacentral:rRNA from 1 species